CCUACGGGUGGCAGCAGUGAGGAAUAUUGGUCAAUGGACGAGAGUCUGAACCAGCCAAGUAGCGUGAAGGAUGACUGCCCUAUGGGUUGUAAACUUCUUUUAUAUGGGAAUAAAAUGUUCCACGUGUGGGAUUUUGUAUGUACCAUAUGAAUAAGGAUCGGCUAACUCCGUGCCAGCAGCCGCGGUAAUACGGAGGAUCCGAGCGUUAUCCGGAUUUAUUGGGUUUAAAGGGAGCGUAGGUGGAUUGUUAAGUCAGUUGUGAAAGUUUGCGGCUCAACCGUAAAAUUGCAGUUGAAACUGGCAGUCUUGAGUACAGUAGAGGUGGGCGGAAUUCGUGGUGUAGCGGUGAAAUGCUUAGAUAUCACGAAGAACUCCGAUUGCGAAGGCAGUUCACUGGACUGCAACUGACACUGAGGCGCGAAAGUGUGGGUAUCAAACAGGAUUAGAUACCCUAGUAGUC
rnacentral:rRNA from 1 species